GAUCAUGGCUCAGGACGAACGCUGGCGGCGUGCUUAACACAUGCAAGUCGAACGGUGAAGCUCCAGCUUGCUGGAGUGGAUCAGUGGCGAACGGGUGAGUAACACGUGAGCAACCUGCCCCUGACUCUGGAAUAAGCGCUGGAAACGGCGUCUAAUACUGGAUACGAGAAGGGUCCGCAUGGGCACUUUCUGGAAAGUUUUUCGGUUGGGGAUGGGCUCGCGGCCUAUCAG
rnacentral:rRNA from 1 species